rnacentral:rRNA from 1 species
CAGCCGUAAACUAUGCGCGUUAGGUGUACUGGUGACCACGAGUCACCGGGGUGCCGAAGGGAAACCGUGAAACGUGCCGCCUGGGAAGUACGGUCGCAAGGCUGAAACUUAAAGGAAUUGGCGGGGGAGGCACCACAACGGGUGGAGCCUGCGGUUUAAUUGGACUCAACGCCGGAAAUCUCACCGGAUAGGACAGACAUAUGAUAGUCGGGCUGAAGACUCUACUUGAUGAUCUGAGAGGUGGUGCAUGGCGUCAGUGACU